AGCUAAGGACCCGAGGUAUGAGAAGCGCUGGCUGGACACCUUGUCCGUGCCUCUGUCCAUGGCUCGCAUCUCAAGGUACAAAGCCGGAACGGAAAAAUUAAGAUUGUAACGGAGCUGAAAAUCCCUACUGCCUGGUGACAUCAACCAUCGUAACCUCACAGUGAAAGAUAUGACUCACGUGUUUGUGGUGAUGUUGACAUAGACAAACCUACUGCACUGCCAGUCAUAUAAAAGGAAACAGUAAUGUCCUGGACCUUCACAUUCACUCACUCCUCACUCAUGGCUUCACCCAGAACAACUUCCAGUCCUGAAGGCUCUAUUCAUGGCACUCACCUUAUUUCAGAAGGAGAAGGCAGAUGGGCUCUAUAGUAGUCAUAAUGGAAACAGACCUACUGCAGAUAAGCAGAUUUUGAAAAGUGAUACUGCAAGUCAGAAUUAUACUGCUAAAUACUCUAAUUUGUUUUGCAAAGGAGAGUAUCAUGUUUAAAUAGUCAUACCAAA
rnacentral:sRNA from 1 species